UGGGCGCAGCCUGAUGCAGCCAUGCCGCGUGUGUGAAGAAGGCCUUCGGGUUGUAAAGCACUUUCAGUCGUGAGGAAGGUGGUGUAGUUAAUAGCUGCAUUAUUUGACGUUAGCGACAGAAGAAGCACCGGCUAACUCCGUGCCAGCAGCCGCGGUAAUACGGAGGGUGCGAGCGUUAAUCGGAAUUACUGGGCGUAAAGCGCAUGCAGGUGGUUAGUUAAGUCAGAUGUGAAAGCCCGGGGCUCAACCUCGGAACUGCAUUUGAAACUGGCUGACUAGAGUACUGUAGAGGGGGGUAGAAUUUCAGGUGUAGCGGUGAAAUGCGUAGAGAUCUGAAGGAAUACCGGUGGCGAAGGCGGCCCCCUGGACAGAUACUGACACUCAGAUGCGAAAGCGUGGGGAGCAAACAGGAUUAGAUACCCUGGUAGUCCACGCCGUAAACGAUGUCUACUUGGAGGUUGUGGCCUUGAGCCGUGGCUUUCGGAGCUAACGCGUUAAGUAGACCGCCUGGGGAGUACGGUCGCAAGAUUAAAACUCAAAUGAAUUGACGGGGGCCCGCACAAGCGGUGGAGCAUGUGGUUUAAUUCGAUGCAACGCGAAGAACCUUACCUACUCUUGACAUCCAGAGAACUUAGCAGAGAUGCUUUGGUGCCUUCGGGAACUCUGAGACAGGUGCUGCAUGGCUGUCGUCAGCUCGUGUUGUGAAAUGUUGGGUUAAGUCCCGCAACGAGCGCAACCCUUAUCCUUGUUUGCCAGCGAGUAAUGUCGGGAACUCCAGGGAGACUGCCGGUGAUAAACCGGAGGAGGUGGGGACGACUUCAGUCAUCAUGGCCCUUA
rnacentral:rRNA from 1 species